rnacentral:lncRNA from 1 species
UGGUUAGUGCAUACAAUACUCCCCCUUUUUAGCCAUAAUCUGACAAAGGUAAGCAUCUAACGAUAAACUGAUAAAACCAUAUUCAUAAAGUACAAGAUCCCACACAAGGGGGCAACUAAGGGUGCAAAAUAUCCUGGUCACAUACCAAAACCAAAAACAAAAAACAAAAAAAACAAGACUGCAAUCAGAUAUCUUCCUGACUAUCUGAGUCAGCUGUUGUA